AAUAGAAACGCCAGAUUCCGGUGCGUAACCAAGUAAUAGCAUAUCAUGGCAACAGUUCGACUUGGUUAAAAACAACAACAUCAACAACAACAACAACAACGUGGAGGCAGUAGCAUCCCACACACUUUCUUAGCUAAGCAUCUGAUCAAGUACCUGACACUACAUACCCUGUAUGUUACACAUGUAACCAGAACAUUACACUAUUCAACACAGUAACUAUCUGACACAUACUUAUCUGACAGUGGUACUCAGACUCAGUCUCUGCUAGUCAAUCCAUCAGUCACAAGCACACAUACAAGAGAAUCGUCCCAAAUGGCAUUUACCCAUAAGGCUCUGGUCAAAAGUUGUGGCCUUUAUAGAGGAAAAUGUUCCAUUUGGGACGCAGACAUAGUCACAGAGGUGACGUUAGGGAGGUCACAGAGGUGACGUUAGGGAGGGUCACAGAGGUGACGUUAGGGGGGUCACAGAGGUGGCGUUCUGAGGCUCAUGUCCCAUUGCUGUGUCACCACAGUGACCCGGUGAGGGUGUCGGUCUAACAGAGGUAUGACAUCACAAAAACGCCACACGGGUUAAUGCUGCAUGAAUUGCAAAACUCCCUUUCAACUAAAGUACAAAUGUAAAAAAAAUAGAUAAAAAACAUGAGACAAAAAUAGAAGACAAAUAAGAUCGAAGACAAACCCAGAGAACACAUAUUAGUUAAAAAGGUCUAUAAAAAUACUACUAUAGCUACUGUAGAAAGAGCAGCCCUGCAGGCCUCCGAGGUUUCUCUCCAGAGGUUUGUCUUCAGAGGUUUCUCUUCAGAGGUUUCCCUCCAGAGGUUUCUCUCCAGAGGUUUCUCUCCAGAGGUUUCUCUCCAGAGGUUUCUCUCCAGAGGUUUCUCUCCAGAGGUUUCCCUCCAGAGUUUUCUCUCCAGAGGUUUCUCUUCAAGAGGUUUCUCUCCAGAGGUUUCUCUGGACCGGGUCCUGGAGAUGGAGGCAGUGUGUGAGGCCGCCCGUCCCGUACUAACAAACAGACAGCCCUCAGAGAGCCAGGCAAGGGGGGGUUAGACCAGGGAUGGGAUGGGGUUGGGGCUGGGGGUACGGCUUGGGGG
rnacentral:lncRNA from 1 species